CUGCAGGUGUUCUGCGGUUCCGGGUCCUUUCUCAGACCGGAUGUCCGAUAAGCAUUGCACUGUGACAACAGGACAGACAUGAGAAUGCCUGGAGAUGGAGAAGGUGUGCGGGCUCCCCCAGCUCCCGGGUCGUCCGCCCAUCUGUGCUCGUGGCCUGCGCCCCAGCUGACCCCCGCGAAAGCUGGCAAGCUGACUCAGAGGAGUUUCUGGAAAGGUUGACGCCUCCCCCCAUCCUACGCUGCAAGACCCUGCGGCCAGCACAGCCUGCCUGUGCCCUGCUGGGAGCUGGGGAAUUGGCUGUAGAAUCUUCUUGAAGGGGACUUGAGUUCAGCUUGUGUCGUGGACCGUGGACUCCAGGCUGCAGCUGUGCCUCAGGUCCACCUGCCCGGGACUGUCUGCUCCUGACAGCUCAGCCCUGGGCACUUGCCCGGCCCCGGUGUGAAGACCCUGCUCGCAGCUGGGGCCUGGCACAUGCACCCGUCGCUUGAUUUCUGGGCAACCAUUGGGCUGUACGGAGAGCCCUAUCUGCAGCUGAAGCCAUCUGCUCACAUGACAACCACCCCUUGGUCGCCAUCGCUCCACCAUUGGGUAAACAGGCUCCACUCCCUCCUGCUCAGCCCAGCCCCUCCCUCCGCACCCCUCCCGAUCUGAGGCACUUCAGCCAGCAUCUCGCUACCAGUUGCCAUGCCUUCAGGAGCACCCCACUGCCCGCAGCUCCUAGUGGGCUGUGCCCAGACGUUCCACGCAGAACGGUGCCACGGCAGCCCUGCAGUCUGCACACAGAGGCCCAGCAGGCCCCAGGCAGCCGGGCCCCCAGAGGGGUCAGUGCCAGGCAGGGGCAGGAGGGUGGCAUGAGGGGCCGAGAGGGCAGGCAGAGAGCCAGCCGUGCAUCGUUUUCUGUCUGGGGGCCCAGAGCACCCUCCAUCCUGGGAGCUUCUGGUUCGGGCUGAACAGCUGUCCUCCGGAGAAGCAGAGUGGGUCUGGGGGCACAUGGCAUUACCGAUGGCAUCGUCCUUUCACCCAUUGGCUGGACAGGCAAAGGGAGGCGAGGGGAAGACAGGGAGGGCCAGCCUCCGCCCCGCGGUGAAAGGGCGAGAGGCACGGCAUGGAAGUA